UACGUAGGGGGCAAGCGUUGUCCGGAAUCAUUGGGCGUAAAGCGCGUGUAGGCGGCUCGAUAAGUCCGUUCUGAAAGUCCAGGGCUCAACCCUGGGAUGCGGAUGGAUACUGUCGAGCUCGAGUCCGGAAGAGGCGAGUGGAAUUCCUGGUGUAGCGGUGAAAUGCGCAGAUAUCAGGAGGAACACCUAUUGCGAAGGCAGCUCGCUGGGACGUUACUGACGCUGAGACGCGAAAGCGUGGGGAGCAAACAGG
rnacentral:rRNA from 1 species